AUUUGUGUCCUCCUAGGUCUAGA
rnacentral:piRNA from 1 species